ACAGAGGAGCCUCCUCCUGAGAUGGAGAUAGCGCAAGUGGUGGGGGAGGAGAGUGACACAAGCCGGGCACCAAGCUCAAAGAGAGAGAGAGGUCAUGGAAGCAGGAGCAGUCAUUUAUCCCAGGAGCUGGAUAUCAAACCAGUUCGUCUGUCCGGUGGCCUUGCAGAAAGCAGUGAGAGCAGCAGGGAGCCCAGCCAGGUGAGCAGAGGGAAAACAAAGAAAAGGGAGAAGAGAGGAAGAUCACAUUGUUCUGUCUCAGACAGCCAAAGCUGCAGCUCUCAGGAGUCUUCUAGGACUUCCUCUGCCGUUGUCAUUGCUGCAGUCAAAGUGAUCCAAAGCUCAGAGAGUGACGCCUCAUCAGAGAAAGACAGAACCAGCACAAGAAGUAGAACGAGGAGAAG